GACGAACGCUGGCGGCGUGCUUAACACAUGCAAGUCGAACGAUGAAGCCGGAGCUUGCUCCGGUGGAUUAGUGGCGAACGGGUGAGUAACACGUGAGCAAUCUGCCCUUGACUCUGGGAUAACUGCGGGAAACUGUAGCUAAUACCGGAUACGACACCUUGGGGCAUCCCAGGGUGUGGAAAGAAUUUCGGUCAAGGAUGAGCUCGCGGCCUAUCAGCUAGUUGGUGAGGUAAUGGCUCACCAAGGCGACGACGGGUAGCCGGCCUGAGAGGGUGACCGGCCAAACUGGAACUGAGACACGGUCCAGACUCCUACGGGAGGCAGCAGUGGGGAAUAUUGCACAAUGGGCGAAAGCCUGAUGCAGCAACGCCGCGUGAGGGAUGAAGGCCUUCGGGUUGUAAACCUCUUUUAGCAGGGAAGAAGCGAAAGUGACGGUACCUGCAGAAAAAGCACCGGCUAACUACGUGCCAGCAGCCGCAGUAA
rnacentral:rRNA from 1 species